rnacentral:rRNA from 1 species
CCGAGAAUUUUUCACAAUGGGCGAAAGCCUGAUGAAGCGACGCCGCGUGGGGGAUGAAUGGCUUCGGCCCGUAAACCCCUGUCAUUUGCGAUCAACCGUUAUUAUUUAAAAGAUGAUAACCUGAUAGUAGCGAAAGAGGAAGGGACGGCUAACUCUGUGCCAGCAGCCGCGGUAAUACAGAGGUCCCAAGCGUUGCUCGGAUUUACUGGGCGUAAAGGGUGCGUAGGUGGCGGUGUAAGUCGGAUGUGAAAUCUCCGAGCUCAACUCGGAAACUGCAUUGGAAACUACAUUGCUCGAGGGUUGGAGGGGGGACUGGAAUACUUGGUGUAGCAGUGAAAUGCGUAGAUAUCAAGUGGAACACCAGUGGCGAAGGCGAGUCCCUGGACAACUCCUGACACUGAGGCACGAAAGCUAGGGGAGCAAACAG